rnacentral:rRNA from 1 species
UACGGAGGGUGCAAGCGUUAUCCGGAUUCACUGGGUUUAAAGGGUGCGUAGGCGGAUAUGUAAGUCCGUGGUGAAAUCUCUGGGCUUAACCCGGAAACUGCCAUGGAUACUAUGUGUCUUGAAUGUUGUUGAGGUGAGCGGAAUAUGUCAUGUAGCGGUGAAAUGCUUAGAUAUGACAUAGAACACCAAUUGCGAAGGCAGCUCACUAAGCAAAUAUUGACGCUGAGGCACGAAAGCGUGGGGAUCAAAUAGG